UACGUAGGGUGCAAGCGUUGUCCGGAAUUAUUGGGCGUAAAGCGUGCGCAGGCGGUGAUGUAAGACAGAUGUGAAAUCCCCGGGCUCAACCUGGGAACUGCAUUUGUGACUGCAUCGCUGGAGUACGGCAGAGGGGGAUGGAAUUCCGCGUGUAGCAGUGAAAUGCGUAGAUAUGCGGAGGAACACCGAUGGCGAAGGCAAUCCCCUGGGCCUGUACUGACGCUCAUGCACGAAAGCGUGGGGAGCAAACAGG
rnacentral:rRNA from 1 species